rnacentral:rRNA from 1 species
UACGUAGGUUGCAAGCGUUGUCCGGAUUUACUGGGCGUAAAGCGCGCGCAGGCGGCCUCGCAAGUCGGAUGUGAAAGCCCCCGGCUCAACCGGGGGAGGUCAUCCGAAACUGCGGGGCUCGAAGGUGCAAGAGGAGAGUGGAAUUCCCGGUGUAGCGGUAAAAUGCGUAGAUACCGGGAGGAACACCAGUGGCGAAAGCGGCUCUCUGGUGCACCCUUGACGCUCAGGCGCGAAAGCUAGGGGAGCGACCGGG